rnacentral:rRNA from 1 species
GACCUGGCUGGGUGGUCUUGCCGAAAGGUAAGUACUGCACCGGUUGGGUCUUUCCUUCUGGGGAACCAGUGUGCUCUUAACUGGGUGCAUUGGGGAUCCAGGACUUUUACUUUGAAAAAAUUAGAGUGUUUAAAGCAGGCCUACGCUUGAAUACAUUAGCAUGGAAUAAUAGAAUAGGAC